GCUAUGCCUGUAAUCCCAGCUACUCGGGAGGCUGAGGUGGGAGGAUCACUUGAGCCCAGGAGUUCUGGGCUGUAGUGCGCUAUGCCGAUCGAGCGUCCACACUAAGUUCAGCAUCAAUAUGGUGACCUCCCAGGAUCAGAGGAUCACCAGAUUGCCUAAGAAGGGAUGAACUGGCCCAGGUUAGAAAUGGAGCAGGUCAAAACUCCCGUGCUGAUCAGUACUGGAAACACGUCUGUGAAUAGCCACUGCACUCCAGCCUGGGCAACAUAGCAAGACCCCAUCUCU
rnacentral:SRP_RNA from 1 species